UACAGAGGGUGCAAGCGUUGUUCGGAAUUAUUGGGCGUAAAGCGCGUGUAGGCGGCUUUGCAAGUCGGGUGUGAAAGCCCUCAGCUCAACUGAGGAAGUGCGCCCGAAACUGCAGAGCUUGAGUGCCGGAGAGGGUGGCGGAAUUCCCCAAGUAGAGGUGGAAAUUCGUAGAUAUGGGGAGGAACACCGGUGGCGAAGGCGGCCGACCUGGACGGUAACUGACGCUGAGACGCGAAAGCGUGGGGAGCAAACAGG
rnacentral:rRNA from 1 species